GAGUGAUCGUUGCAAACUUGGCAGAGAAGAAGUAAUGAUGAUGGUGAAAGCCACAGUGGACUCUAGGUAUUUUUGGAGAAGUUUUUUUUUCAAGGAUACAUUGCUCAGAUUGAUGACAAUGUACAGGAUCCUAUGUGGUAAGAUCUGAUGGUUUUCUUGGCGAUCAAGAGAUGGACAUUCUAUAUUUGAUCGAUUUGGAAAUGGGUUUAGGUCAUGGUGCUCAAUUUGGAAACGGGUUCAGGUGAUGGUGCUAUGCCUAGCCAAGAAGGGCUGCAAUU
rnacentral:lncRNA from 1 species